UUCCGAGGUAGCACAGGUUAUGGUGCUGAUUUUGAGAAAAUGGUGGAAAGAGAUUGGGGUGAAGGUCCUCGCCUGGAUU
rnacentral:tRNA from 1 species